GAUCCCACCCACCUCAACCUCCCAAAGUGCUAGAAUUAUAGUAGUGAGCCACUGUGCCCGGCCCCUCUUGGUUUUUUAAUAGAAUGAUUAUUAUGAGAAGUAAUUAAUAAUUACUUAAGUAAUUUCCUAGUUAUUAAGAAGGAGUAAAAUUUGGAGAAUUGACUUUGAAAGAAAGGAACAACUUAGAUAGAAAGUAUUUUGCUUGUUUACCCUUAGAACAAAAAAUACUUACUGCAUUUUUGUAGGGAUCAGAUUGAAUUGCCUCCUAGAAAUAUGCUUACAAGAGGACAUUGCUUUGGUAGUCACCAAGGUUCAGAGCCAGUCUUCUCUGCCCUCAUUCCCAUUUUGUUGCCUGCCAUGUUGAGAGUGACUGCUCUAACGAGUAACAAUUAAUGAAGAGAAUGGCAUCUAUCCCUCAUAAAUGUUGCAGAGUAAAGAUAAUUAAGAAACAUUGUUCUAAGCUCCAUGCUAACUGUAUCAGGGAUCCCUACAGCUGCAAGGAACUGAAAACCUGCUGUCCAAUGACUUUAAGAAAUAUGAGUUUAUUUUUCUUACAUAACAAGAUCGACAGACUAGGGCUAUGCAGCACCAAUUUCAGCAAGGAUCAAGGCUUGUCCUGUCUUACCAUUUUGUUUUUAUUCUUUCGGUUGCAUCUCCAGGCAUUAUGUCCAUGCUCCAAGCAGCUGGAGGGGCAAAACAAAAGAAAAAGCCCUCUCCAGGGGCUUUUGCCUCUUUGGCCAGAGUAUCAGUGGCCACUCUUAUCUUCAGGAAGGCUGAAAGGUGGAGUAAUCAUGAUCUUCUCUUAUCCAUGAGAGAUAUGUUCCAAGACCCCCAGUAGACGCCUGAAACUAUGGGUAGUACCAAACCGUGUAUAUAUAUACUCGUUGGUGUAUAUGUAUUUUCCUAUACAUACAUACCUAUGAUCAAACUUAAUUUAUAAAUUAGGCACAGUAGAGAUUAACAGUAGCUAAUAAUAAAAUAGAACAGUUAUAAUAUCAUACUGUAAUAAAAGUUACGUGAAUGUGGUCUUUUUCUCUCUCUAAAUACCUUAUUGUGCUGUACUACAGGUAACUGAAACCACAAAAAGCCAAACCACAGAUGAGAUGAGAGUACUGUAUUUUAUCUCUACAGCUUUUACAACAGAGAAAGGAAAGGGAGAAGUGGUUGGGAGUGGGUGGUGAGUGAACCAGCCUAGACUGUCUGCCUUACCAACCUGAUGCCCUCUCUUCUGACUUUUGAUAGAGUUCAACACAGAUUAUUUGAUUUCUGCUUUUUUACUGCCGUUUUAUCCUUUUGCUUCCCAAAUUUAGACUCAAGGUACAGGUGUCUCUGUG